rnacentral:rRNA from 1 species
AUUGAACGCUGGCGGCAGGCCUAACACAUGCAAGUCGAGCGGAGCGGCGGACGGGUGAGUAAUACCUAGGAAUCUGCCUGAUAGUGGGGGAUAACGUUCGGAAACGGACGCUAAUACCGCAUACUAUCAGAUGAGCCUAGGUCGGGUUAGCUAGUUGGUGAGGUAAUGGCUCACCAAGGCUACGAUCCGUAACUGGUCUGAGAGGAUGAUCAGUCACACUGGAACUGGGGCACGGUCCAGACUCCGCCGACAGGCAGCAGUGGGGAAUAUUGGACGAUGGGCGAAAGCCUGGUCCAGCCAUUCCGCGUGUGGGAAGAAGGUCUUCGGAUUGUAAAGCACUUGAAGGUGGGAGGCGUUACCGACAGAAUAAGCACCGGCUAACUCUGUGCCAGCAGCCGCGGUAAUUC